rnacentral:rRNA from 1 species
UACGUAGGGGGCUAGCGUUGUCCGGAAUCAUUGGGCGUAAAGAGCGUGUAGGCGGCCCGGUAAGUCCGCUGUGAAAGUCGGGGGCUCAACCCUCGGAUGCCGGUGGAUACUGUCGGGCUCGAGUACGGAAGAGGCGAGUGGAAUUCCUGGUGUAGCGGUGAAAUGCGCAGAGUAUCAGGAGGAACACCUAUGCGAAGGCAGCUCGCUGGGACGUUACUGACGCUGAGACGCGAAGCGUGGGGAGCAAACAGG